UCAGUUGUGAAAGUUUGCGGCUCAACCGUAAAAUUGCAGUUGAUACUGGAUAUCUUGAGUGCAGUUGAGGCAGGCGGAAUUCGUGGUGUAGCGGUGAAAUGCUUAGAUAUCACGAAGAACUCCGAUUGCGAAGGCAGCCUGCUAAGCUGCAACUGACAUUGAGGCUCGAAAGUGUGGGUAUCAAACAGGAUUAGAUACCCUGGUAGUCCACACGGUAAACGAUGAAUACUCGCUGUUUGCGAUAUACGGCAAGCGGCCAAGCGAAAGCGUUAAGUAUUCCACCUGGGGAGUACGCCGGCAACGGUGAAACUCAAAGGAAUUGACGGGGGCCCGCACAAGCGGAGGAACAUGUGGUUUAAUUCGAUGAUACGCGAGGAACCUUACCCGGGCUUAAAUUGCACUCGAAUGAUCCGGAAACGGUUCAGCUAGCAAUAGCGAGUGUGAAGGUGCUGCAUGGUUGUCGUCAGCUCGUGCCGUGAGGUGUCGGCUUAAG
rnacentral:rRNA from 1 species